AUCCUUCGGGGUCUAGUGGCGAACGGGUGAGUAACACGUGAGCAACCUGCCCUUGGCUCUGGGAUAGCCUCCGGAAGCGGGGAUUAAUACCGGACAUGACCUGCUCCUGCAUGGGGGCGGGUGGAAAGUUCUUCGGCCAGGGAGGGGCUCGCGGCCUAUCAGCUUGUUGGGGGGGUAACGGCCCACCAAGGCGACGACGGGUAGCCGGCCUGAGAGGGCGACCGGCCACACUGGGACUGAGACACGGCCCAGACUCCUACGGGAGGCAGCAGUGGGGAAUAUUGCACAAUGGGCGCAAGCCUGAUGCAGCGACGCCGCGUGCGGGAUGAAGGCCUUCGGGUUGUAAACCGCUUUCAGCAGGGGCGAAUUUGACGGUACCUGCAGAAGAAGCGCCGGCUAACUACGUGCCAGCAGCCGCGGUAAUACGUAGGGCGCGAGCGUUGUCCGGAAUUAUUGGGCGUAAAGAGCUCGUAGGCGGCCUGUUGCGUCCGCUGUGAAAUCCCAGGGCUCAACCCUGGGCGUGCAGUGGAUACGGGCAGGCUGGAGGCAGGCAGGGGAGAACGGAAUUCCCGGUGUAGCGGUGAAAUGCGCAGAUAUCGGGAGGAACACCGGUGGCGAAGGCGGUUCUCUGGGCCUGUACUGACGCUGAGGAGCGAAAGCGUGGGGAGCGAACAGGAUUAGAUACCCUGGUAGUCCACGCCGUAAACGUUGGGCGCUGGGUGUGGGUCCCUUCCACGGGGUCUGUGCCGCAGCUAACGCAUUAAGCGCCCCGCCUGGGGAGUACGGCCGCAAGGCUAAAACUC
rnacentral:rRNA from 1 species